AGAUUGAACGCUGGCGGCAUGCCUUACACAUGCAAGUCGAACGGCAGCACGGGAGCAAUCCUGGUGGCGAGUGGCGAACGGGUGAGUAAUACAUCGGAACGUGCCCAAUCGUGGGGGAUAACGCAGCGAAAGCUGUGCUAAUACCGCAUAAGAUCUACGGAUGAAAGCAGGGGAUCGCAAGACCUUGCGCGAAUGGAGCGGCCGAUGGCAGAUUAGGUAGUUGGUGAGGUAAAGGCUCACCAAGCCUUCGAUCUGUAGCUGGUCUGAGAGGACGACCAGCCACACUGGGACUGAGACACGGCCCAGACUCCUACGGGAGGCAGCAGUGGGGAAUUUUGGACAAUGGGCGAAAGCCUGAUCCAGCCAUGCCGCGUGCAGGAUGAAGGCCUUCGGUUGUAAACUGCUUUGUACGAACGAAAGUCUCUUCUAAUAAAGAGGAUCAUGACGGUACGAAGAAUAAGACACCGACUAACUACGUACG
rnacentral:rRNA from 1 species